UUAGCUCAAACUGAAACUUCCCAUGGUGGAUCAGCAGUUGAAUGUCUGCCUUUGGCUCAGGGCGUGAUCCCACAGUCUUGGGAUCGAGUCCCGCAUCAGGGUCCCUGCAGGGCGCCUGCUUCUCCCUUUGCCUAUGUCUCUGCCGCCCGCCCCCCGCCGUGUCUCUCAUGAAUAAAUAAAAUAUUUAAAAAAGAAAAAACUCUCACCAUAAAUUUCAGUGGACAUAUUGAAACCCCCCUAAAAAUUCUGCUAAAUCACAAUGGCAACUGCAUGUGACAUGUGAGAUGGGCAGAAAGUCACGUAAGGGAGCUGUGAAUGUCCACAGCCUUGCUAAUUUUACCAAGAGGUCAAGCAAAUAUGGAUUUCAUACUAACUCCUCAGACUAAGUUAAUCAAAUGUCUGUUAUGAUGUCAGCAGUUUGCCACACUCUAUACAUCAUACAACCAUCCUAUGAGGUAUAUGAUCCUAUUUUCUCAAGUUUUCAGGGGUAUUCAGAGCCUAAAGGAGAUUUUAAGAAACAAGGUGUCAUACCCAUUACAGGCAGCUUUGCAGCCUUCUUCAAAUUCCUCAUGCCGCAGAAUCUGGUAAGGGAAUUAGAAUAUACUGUAAAAUGUUACCAGUACCGUACACAGCUUAUUUAGCACAAGCUAAAAUGUUAAAACACAGACAUUUAUAAUUUGUAAGAUUUACUUCUAAAACAAACAAAAGACCAUGAGCUUUACAUCUUUCCCAGACUGGAAGUAAGAAGUAAGGAAGAACAGUUUGACAUCAAGGGUCAGGCAACCAAGCUUGUGAAAUUUACUUAGAUUGGGAAGCAGUGCUGUGGAGUUAAAAUAAAAACAACAACACAAAGAAACAAAGUACCCUACGACCCAGCAAUUGCACUGUUGGGGAUUUACCCCAAAGAUACAGAUGCAAUGAAUCGCCGGGACACCUGCA